UACGGAGGGUGCAAACGUUGCUCGGAAUCAUUGGGCGUAAAGCGCACGUAGGCGGUCUGUUAAGUCGGGUGUGAAAGCCCCGGGCUCAACCCGGGAAGUGCAUUCGAAACUGACAGGCUUGAGUACGGAAGAGGGUCUCGGAAUUCCCGGUGUAGAGGUGAAAUUCGUAGAUAUCGGGAGGAACACCAGUGGCGAAGGCGGAGACCUGGGCCGAUACUGACGCUGAGGUGCGAAAGCGUGGGGAGCAAACAGG
rnacentral:rRNA from 1 species